rnacentral:rRNA from 1 species
UACGUAGGGUGCAAGCGUUGUCCGGAAUUAUUGGGCGUAAAGAGCUCGUAGGCGGUCUGUCACGUCGGCUGUGAAACCCGAGGCUCAACCUCGGGCCUGCAGUCGAUACGGGCAAACUAGAGUACUGCAGGGGAGACUGGAAUUCCUGGUGUAGCGGUGAAAUGCGCAGAUAUCAGGAGGAACACCGGUGGCGAAGGCGGGUCUCUGGGCAGUGAACUGA